UCAAGGUCAGCGAAGGCGGGUGCUGGAGGGUUCGUAUUCAGCAGGCUUCUCCCUCAGCUGGCAGAGCCGCUUUGAACUUUUCCCUUUUAAACAAAUAGGAUGGGAAACUGCAAAGGAACAAAUGCUGGGAAUCAUAGAAAGGAGGGCGCCGCAAAUAAAUAAAUAAAUGGCCAGCCGCGUCCCUGGCAAAUGAAAGGCACCACUCCCGGAUUUCCAGCGCCUCCAUGCAUUUGGGGCGGAUGAGAAACUUUAAAACAAAAACAAUAGAAUAAACCGGCGCUCUUUUUCUUCCCCCACUCCGAAGGGUGAACCCUUUAUUUUUGACAACAAAUAAGACGCAGUUGGCAGGCUUUUGUCUCUGCUUCCGAACAAACUCUUGCCAAGUGUUGAGAAGACGCUCUUCACCCAUCUCGAGGGAGGGAGAAGGCAAGAGGGGGCAAGGCAGUGGUUGUCCACAUGGCUGCCCAAACUCUGAAUUUACCAGAAACAGUUUGUAAGCACAAGGCACCGUGGCUCUGGAUCUUGGAACAAAAUUCCCCUAAUUACAGCAUCUAAACCUUUCUCGUAGCCCGGAGAGGGGUUGUGUCUCUAAAUCUCCUGCGAACUGCAGAUUAUUAUCUUGGGCUUUAUUAUCGCAUCUGGGAAAACUUAUUUUUUUUUUAUAGAGUCAUUCCACUAAUCAUCAGUCUACGAGCCAAGAGUGGUACCCCUCGUCCCUCCAACUCGAAAUGUGCGCCUUUUUCGAGAAGCAUUUUGUCAAGAGCACCCCAGCCCCUGAUACGGGCUGUUUAUCAGGGUCGGUGCUACCAGGCUGAUAUUUCUAAUUUAUCGGGAUGCUUCAAAGGUAUUCAGCAGGAACACCGUUCUCCUCACUUUGCUUAUGAAGUGGAACUGCGGUUUGAAAGGAACAUCAAGUUGCUAGCUGUCUUCUUGCUGUAAUUGUAUUUAAUUCAUUAUCUUUCAUUUCAAUAAAAUCACAGGAAAA